ensembl:ncRNA T27D1.4 ncRNA
AAAUAAAUAAAAGUGAAGUGAGGGGAUGAGAUAAUAUCUCGAAUUUCCUGUUUGCCAAUUGAAGUGAGUUGUUUUCUUCUUGUUUUCUCCUCACACUUUUUUCUUCAAAUAUAAUGCAUAUAAGCAGGAAAAGAUGGAUUUUUGCCAAUG